rnacentral:lncRNA from 1 species
UGAUCAAGGGGGGGGGGGGCUUGCCUGGUUGCUCUAGCAAGAGAGAGGGAUCGUCAACUCCGUAGUCGAACUGGGCAGCAGCAGUGUCGGUCUCGUGGUCUACCGGAGAGAAGAGGGGGAAGAAACAAUGAAUACAAUGCAAACAAAUGCAUAUCGAUGCAUGACAUGACAAGUAACGAUGCUAGGUGUGCCCAAUCGCGGUAGUAGGUGAUACCGACGAAGGGGGGAAACAUCCGGGAAAGUAUUCCCGGUGUUUCGCGUUUUCGGACAGAUGAACCGGAGGGGAAAAGUUGUGUGUUUGCUAUGCUAGGGAUGUGUGAUAGGCGAACGGGCUGUAUAUACGGAUUCGUCUCGUCGUUCUGAGCAACUUUCAUGUACAAAGUUUAUUUUUCAUCCGACCUACGGUUUAUUUUCUAUGAUUUUAUCAAAGUUUUAAAUGAUUUGGGCAUUUAUUUUAAUUUGCAAAUAAACAGAAAAUACCAAGCCUACCCAGCCAUGUGCUAGCCACAUAGGCUGACUGGUGGGGUCUAGGGGUGUCCAGUCAGCAGUUGACCAGUUAACUAUUGACUGGUCAAUAGGGUGAAAUGGGGCCACAUGUCAUUUGCUCUAAAGACUAAACUAGUACUAAAAUACUCCUAAACUAAAUUAGUCCUAAUUAAUACAAGGGCCGGCCACGCACGGAAGUGGGCCGUGACCAAGCCGGCCACCCACACACACCACACACAGCUCGUAACACACAAUUCUGUUUUCUGUUAACAAAAGAUAGCGUUUUGUGAUUUUCAUAGCAUUUAAACUACAGAUCAAAUGGAUUUGGUCCAGUGGGACAAAAAGAAGUUUGUUGAGUGUACUAUCUACUCAUAUUAUUUUCUCUCCUGUUAGUAGUCAUUUAGGCGUUGUUUAAGGACUGUUUAGGGGGCUAGUCAGUGUAAUAUCAGCGAAGCUAGCUACCGCUACAGUAACUGAAUGUUACUGUAGCAGCGUAGAACAGCAGCAGGCAGCUAUACGCGGGCGAGCACGAGCAGAAGCGCAGCAUGGCAGUAGCAGUUCGCAAGGGCUCGCGGAGGCACGGCCAGGGGCGUAUGACCGCGCGCGGGAGCGGAGCUCCGGCCAUGGCGUCCGAAGCGCCGCCGGCGAUGAGCAGCGGCAGCAGGGCGAUGGGUUCGGCGGGGGGGCACAGCCACGCGCGGGCAAGCACGCACGGGGGUGCGGUCGGGCGCAGCCGGUCGUGGCCGAGCGAGGCGGUUACGCGGUCAAGAGAGGAGCUGGGCACGGACGGCGUGACGAGCAGGGAAGGCGGUUGCAGUGAGCAACGACAGCCACGACGCGCGGUGAGGUUCAGGGGGGUAGGCCGCGGCCAGGUCAUGGCCGGCGCGGGCGCGGCCAGGGCGCUCUCCGUGGCGUGGGGGGACGCGUUAGAGAGGCCCGUGAGGCGCGGGCGGCGCGUAGUGAGCAGGAACGCCUAGCGAGUGCGGGCACGACGUCUAGCGGUGAGGACUACGGCCUAAACCGAGGGAGAAUCAGAGGGGAAUCAAACGAGGGCCUCACCACGGAGGCACACGGAGGCCGUCGACAGCUUAGGAGCGCAGAGGACGGAUCAGGGUGGCGGAGCCGCGGUGGUCCGAGGAGGACGACGACGGCGUUCCGGCGCUACAGUGCUCCCCGUCUCCAACGGGUUGCACCAGUGGACGAGGCGGUCCGCGGCGAGGCGGACGGGCACGGUGAUGCCGCGCGAAGGACACGGUGGUGGCGUCAAUGGCGAGCGGUGGCGGCGAUGAUGC